GAUGAACGCUGGCGGCGUGCCUAAUACAUGCAAGUCGAGCGAACGGACGAGAAGCUUGCUUCUCUGAUGUUAGCGGCGGACGGGUGAGUAACACGUGGAUAACCUACCUAUAAGACUGGGAUAACUUCGGGAAACCGGAGCUAAUACCGGAUAAUAUUUUGAACCGCAUGGUUCACAAGUGAAAGACGGUCUUGCUGUCACUUAUAGAUGGAUCCGCGCUGCAUUAGCUAGUUGGUAAGGUAACGGCUUACCAAGGCAACGAUGCAUAGCCGACCUGAGAGGGUGAUCGGCCACACUGGAACUGAAACACGGUCCAGACUCCUACGGGAGGCAGCAGUAGGGAAUCUUCCGCAAUGGGCGAAAGCCUGACGGAGCAACGCCGCGCGAGUGAUGAAGGUCUUCGGAUCGUAAAACUCUGUUAUUAGGGAAGAACAUAUGUGUAAGUAACUGUGCACAUCUUGACGGUACCUAAUCAGAAAGCCACGGCUAACUACGUGCCAGCAGCCGCGGUAAUACGUAGGUGGCAAGCGUUAUCCGGAAUUAUGGGCGUAAGCGCGCGUAGGCGGUUUUUUAGUCUGAUGUGAAAGCCCACGGCUCAACCGUGGAGGGUCAUUGGAAACUGGAAAACUUGAGUGCAGAAGAGGAAAGUGGAAUUCCAGGUGUAGCGGUGAAAUGCGCAGAGAUAUGGAGGAACACCAGUGGCGAAGGCGACUUUCUGGUCUGUAACUGACGCUGAUGUGCGAAAGCGUGGGGAUCAAACAGGAUUAGAUACCCUGGUAGUCCACGCCGUAAACGAUGAGUGCUAAGUGUUAGGGGGUUUCCGCCCCUUAGUGCUGCAGCUAACGCAUUAAGCACUCCGCCUGGGGAGUACGACCGCAAGGUUGAAACUCAAAGGAAUUGACGGGGACCCGCACAAGCGGUGGAGCAUGUGGUUUAAUUCGAAGCAACGCGAAGAACCUUACCAAAUCUUGACAUCCUUUGACAACUCUAGAGAUAGAGCCUUCCCCUUCGGGGGACAAAGUGACAGGUGGUGCAUGGUUGUCGUCAGCUCGUGUCGUGAGAUGUUGGGUUAAGUCCCGCAACGAGCGCAACCCUUAAGCUUAGUUGCCAUCAUUAAGUUGGGCACUCUAAGUUGACUGCCGGUGACAAACCGGAGGAAGGUGGGGAUGACGUCAAAUCAUCAUGCCCCUUAUGGUUUGGGCUACACACGUGCUACAAUGGACAAUACAAAGGGCAGCGAAACUGCGAGGUCAAGCAAAUCCCAUAAAGUUGUUCUCAGUUCGGAUUGUAGUCUGCAACUCGACUACAUGAAGCUGGAAUCGCUAGUAAUCGUAGAUCAGCAUGCUACGGUGAAUACGUUCCCGGGUCU
rnacentral:rRNA from 1 species